UUUCCGUAGGUGAACCUGCGGAAGGAUCAUUAACACGAAUUAUUUAUUAUCCAAUAUCAAAAACCAAACGUGAACUUUUCCCCUCCCUAUAUAUAUGUAUAUAUAUAUAUAGGCUAACCUCAUAUAAUUUUUAACACUUUAAACUUCAACUAGUUUUAAUGUAACCAUUAAAACAUCUAAACUAAAAAAGACAAGGUUAUUCGAAAGAGUAAACUUUAACUUUUUUCGAUCUACGAAAAAUUUAAAAGAACAACUCUUAACAAUGGAUAUCUUGGUUCUC
rnacentral:misc_RNA from 1 species